rnacentral:rRNA from 1 species
AUGAACGCUGGCGGCGUGCCUAAUCCAUGCAAGUCGCGCGAACAGACGAGGAGCUUGCUCCUCUGACGUUAGCGGCGGACGGGUGAGUAACACGUGGAUAACCUACCUAUAAGACUGGGAUAACUUCGGGAAACCGGAGCUAAUACCGGAUAAUAUAUUGAACCGCAUGGUUCAAUAGUGAAAGACGGUUUUGCUGUCACUUAUAGAUGGAUCCGCGCCGCAUUAGCUAGUUGGUAAGGUAACGGCUUACCAAGGCAACGAUGCGUAGCCGACCUGAGAGGGUGAUAGGCCACACUGGAACGGAGACACGGUCCAGACUCCUACGGGAGGCAGCAGUAGGGAAUCUUCCGCAAUGGGCGAAAGCCUGACGGAGCAACGCCGAGUGAGUGAUGAAGGUCUUCGGAUCGUAAAACUCUGUUAUUAGGGAAGAACAAAUGUGUAAGUAACUAUGCACGUCUUGACGGUACCUAAUCAGAAAGCCACGGCUAACUACGUG